CUUGUAAGAAGAAAUGUUAAUGCCCAUGGCAUGGGUUCAAGGCCUCGACACAGGGACUUUGGGUCACUGAAGAUCAUUGAGAAAGAAGAACUGACAAUCCAUUGCAAAGCGACCUAUUUUUUUAGAAGUGGGGAAGAGGAAGGUGUAGUCAACAUAUUGAGAGAAGAAAAGCUGAAAAAAUAGAAGAGAAUGACAUUAUUUAAGCCUGUGAAUACUUUUACGUCUAAAGUCACAUUAAUGCCUGGUCCUACUGGGUCCAUAAACCAAUACGGACUCUUAAAGAGUCACAGUGGCAAGACAAAUAUGAGGACUGCAGACAUCAUGCUCUUUUUCAAUGACAUCUAAGUAGCAGAGUCACAGAGAUGAAGAGCAAUAAAGAAAACAAACCAGGGGUUGAAGCAGGAGGAUCACUUGAGGCCAGGAGUUUGAGACCAGCCUGAGCAACAAACAAAGCAAGAACCCCAUCUCUACAAAAAAAAAAUUUUUUAAAUAAGCCAGGCACAGCAGCAGGCACCUGCAGUCCCAGCUACUUGGGAGGCUGAGGUGGGAGGAUUGCUUGAGUCCAGUAGUUCAAGGUUGCAGUGGGCUGUGAUUAUGCCACUGCAUUCCAGCCUGGAAAACAUAGCUAGACCCCAUCUCUAAAAAAAAUAAAAUAAAAUAAAAUAAAAA
rnacentral:lncRNA from 1 species